rnacentral:rRNA from 1 species
ACUCAAAUGAAUUGACGGGGACCCGCACAAGCAGUGGAGCAUGUGGUUUAAUUCGAUGCAACGCGAAGAACCUUACCCAGGUUUGACAUGCAAAGGACCGCUGCAGAAAUGCAGCCUCCCCUCGGGGCCUUUGCACAGGUGCUGCAUGGCUGUCGUCAGCUCGUGCCGUGAGGUGUUGGGUUAAGUCCCGCAACGAGCGCAACCCUUAUCGCUAGUUGCCAACACGUAAAGGUGGGAACUCUAGUGAGACUGCCCGGGUUAACCGGGAGGAAGGUGAGGAUGACGUCAAGUCCGCAUGGCCCUUAUGUCUGGGGCUACACACGUGCUACAAUGGUCGGUACAGAAGGCAGCGAAACUGCAAAGUAUUAGCAAAUCCUCAAAAGCCGGCCCCAGUUCAGAUUGUAGUCUGCAACUCGACUACAUGAAGAUGGAAUUGCUAGUAAUGGCGAGUCAGCAACAUCGCCGUGAAUACGUUCCCGGGUCUUGUACACACCGCCCGU